rnacentral:sRNA from 1 species
GAGCGCCGCUGGGUAGGCGGAAGUAGCCGCAGGCAUGGCGGCUGCUAUUCCGCUUUCUCUGCUCGUCCUGCUGCUCCUGGGGCCCGGCGGCUGGUGCCUGGCAGAACACCCACGCGACAGCCUGCGGGAGGAACUCGUCAUCACCCCGCUGCCUUCCGGGGACGUAGCCGCAACAUUCCAGUUCCGCACGCGCUGGGAUUCGGAGCUUCAGCGGGAAGGAGUGUCUCAUUACAGGCUCUUUCCCAAAGCCCUGGGGCAGCUGAUCUCGAAGUAUUCUCUACGGGAGCUGCACCUGUCAUUCACACAAGGCUUUUGGAGGACCCGAUACUGGGGGCCACCCUUCCUGCAGGCCCCAUCAGGUGCAGAGCUCUGGGUCUGGUUCCAAGACACUGUCACUGAUGUGGAUAAAUCUUGGAAGGAGCUCAGUAAUGUCCUCUCAGGGAUCUUCUGCGCCUCUCUCAACUUCAUCGACUCCACCAACACGGUCACUCCCACUGCCUCCUUCAAACCCCUGGGUCUGGCCAAUGACACUGACCACUACUUUCUGCGCUAUGCUGUGCUGCCGCGGGAGGUGGUCUGCACUGAAAACCUCACCCCCUGGAAGAAGCUCUUGCCCUGUAGUUCCAAGGCAGGCCUCUCUGUGCUGCUGAAGGCAGAUCGCUUGUUCCACACCAGCUACCACUCCCAGGCAGUGCAUAUCCGCCCUGUUUGCAGAAAUGCACGCUGUACUAGCAUCUCCUGGGAGCUGAGGCAGACCCUGUCAGUUGUAUUUGAUGCCUUCAUCACGGGGCAGGGGAAGAAAGACUGGUCCCUCUUCCGGAUGUUCUCCCGAACCCUCACGGAGCCCUGCCCCCUGGCCUCAGAGAGCCGAGUCUAUGUGGAUAUCACCAACUACAACCAGGACAACGAGACAUUAGAGGUGCACCCAUCCCCGACCACUACAUAUCAGGACGUCAUCCUAGGCACUCGGAAGACCUAUGCCAUCUAUGACUUGCUUGACAGCGCCAUGAUCAACAACUCUCGAAACCUCAACAUCCAGCUCAAGUGGAAGAGACCCCCAGAGAAUGGUGAGUGGGUGGGUGGUUGGACUGCCGGGUUGCAACGGCUACAGAGAAAAGACUCACAAUCCCACGUCUUUGCCGUAAGAUGAUAGGGUUGUAUUUAGACCAGAUCUCCAGAGUCAUAUGCUGCUGACUGUAGCUCUUCCAAGCUCUAUGAUUUUGGGUAGGUUCCUAAACUCCCCAAGCAUCAGCAUCCACAUCUGAAAAAUAAAGAGUAUACUUAGUGAAUUGAAUGAGAUGAUGUGAAAAAUGGAGUUAGUUCAUGCAUUUGCUUCAUCAACCAAAUACUUAUGAAUUCAUACUAAGUGCCAGGCAUAGAGUAUUGAAUACGACAGAGGACACUGCACUCAAGAAAUAUAAUGUCUACUAGCUAGGGCAGGUGUCAGUUAAUUAAUUACAGUUGUGUUCAGUUCCCUUUACCAAGUGAAAGAGCAGAAUAUCCUGAGAGGACCUGGUUUGGGUUCGAAGGAGGCACGGUGUUCGUCACAUAAGCACUUUAAUACUAGCAACUUAUUGUCAUUAUUGCUUGUUGGCUGGGGAAGACAGGGAUGAUUCCAGAACCCAGAUUUCCCAGUUUCAGUGGCAGGGCUGUUCCUCCAUCUACUCACUGGCUUGGGACUCUGAACAUGGCCUGGGCAGUUGGGGUGGGGAGUGAUUCUUACUUUUGGCAGCUGUUAACUGUUGACAUUUCUUUACACAGAGGCCCCCCCAGUACCCUUCCUGCAUGCCCAGCGGUACGUGAGCGGCUAUGGGCUGCAGAAGGGGGAGCUGAGCACACUGCUGUACAACACCCACCCAUACCGGGCCUUCCCGGUGCUGCUGCUGGACACUGUACCCUGGUAUCUGCGGCUGUAUGUGCACACCCUCACCAUCACCUCCAAGGGCAAGGAGAACAAACCAAGUUACAUCCACUACCAGCCUGCCCAGGACCGGCUGCAACCCCACCUCCUGGAGAUGCUGAUUCAGCUGCCGGCCAACUCAGUCACCAAGGUUUCCAUCCAGUUUGAGCGGGCGCUGCUGAAGUGGACCGAGUACACGCCAGAUCCUAACCAUGGCUUCUAUGUCAGCCCAUCUGUCCUCAGCGCCCUUGUGCCCAGCAUGGUAGCAGCCAAGCCAGUGGACUGGGAAGAGAGUCCCCUCUUCAACAGCCUGUUCCCAGUCUCUGAUGGCUCUAACUACUUCGUGCGGCUCUACACAGAGCCGCUGCUGGUGAACCUGCCGACACCGGACUUCAGCAUGCCCUACAACGUGAUCUGCCUCACGUGCACGGUGGUGGCCGUGUGCUACGGCUCCUUCUACAAUCUCCUCACCCGAACCUUCCACAUCGAGGAGCCCCGCACAGGUGGCCUGGCCAAGCGGCUGGCCAACCUUAUCCGGCGCGCCCGAGGUGUCCCCCUACUCUGAUUAUUGCCCUUUCCAGCAGCUGUAGCUGCUGUUCUCUCUGGGGAGGAGAGCACAAGGGCUCUUUCUGCCACUUGCUCUCCUCAGAAUUGGCUUUUGGAACCAAAGUGCCCUGGACCAGGUCAGGGCCUACAGCUGUGCAUCCAGUACAGGAGCCAUGAGCCAAAUAUGGCAUUUGAAUUUGAAUUAACUUAAAAAUUCAUUUCCUCACCUGUAGUGGCCACCUCUAUAUUGAGGUGCUCAAUAAGCAAAAGUGGUCAGUGGCUGCUGUAUUGGAAAGAACAGAAAAAGACUUCCAUCACUGCAGAAAGGUCGGUUGGCAGCACCGGCCAAGGUGAUGGGGUGUGCUGCAGAGUGUGUGUCACCGUGUGGUGGAUGGAGU